ACUACCUCCCUGUGCCCCCCAGCACCAGGCCCAGAGGCUGCCCACGCACACCGGCACUCUCACAGUUAACGCCUUCCACCCCCGGCUCAGGGAGCUGCUGUGUCCCUGCCUUCAGCAAUCACACUGUCACAGUGACACAGUCACACACAGCUCGCUGGCCCAGCACCCACCACAAAACCGGCAGGCUUGCUGCAUUGCCUCCUGCCUUCAGGGCACCUUGGCCUCCUCCACUUCUGCGGCCUGUCCUUGGUCCCCAUGUCAGCCUGCAACCCCACACAGGCCGGGUGGUGCUACUGCCUCUUGUGGCCCUGGGCAGGGGUUGCUGAAAGAGGGAGAACCUCCCAGGCCUCUCUGCAUAUGGCUCCAGAUACCCACUUUACCAGAUAACCAGCUAGCAGAGCGGCCCACUGACGGAAGGUAGCCUGGGGCAGGUGACUUCCGGGAAGGUUAUUAAAGCUCUCCGGUGGUACCUUAAUUUCCUCUUCUGUAACUAGCAGACACAAUUGGAGGAAAAGAGGAUUGCAGAGGAGCGUGGGGAAAUCAUAAGGGGUUGGCCACAUUUGCCAUCUUCGCGACGAUGGGUUCAUAGGUUGGUUUGAGGGUCUGGGGAGAUGGGUCAGCUGGCAAAACUCUGACAUGAGGACCUGAGUGCAAUCCCCAGAACUCAUCUCAACAGCCAGGCAUAGUGGUACACACUGGCAUCCCCGUGUCGGGGAGGUGGACACUGAGGGCUUGCUUGCCAGCCAGUCUAGACCAAUCCCUGAGCUUCCGUCCAAUGAGAGACUUUGUUUCAUUUCAGAGGAGCUGGGCAGGGUUUCCAAGGGUGAUAUCUGAGGCUCUCCAGUCACCUGUACACCUGAGCACAUUUUGCACACCCGACACACACGUGCACGUGGACUUUGUUUCUGUAUUUUUUUAUUGAUGCAUACAGUUGGUUUCGCUGUAGUGAAAGGGGUUUGCCCUCCUCACAGAGCUGGCGGGAAGCUCACAAAAAGAUACUCCUCCAGAGGAGCACCAUCCAGGGAGACAAGAUGGCAAGUGUGAUCGUGUGGAGAUAAUCUGACACACUAGCUCCUAUCUCGAAAGGCUUAGAGAUUGCAAAGGUCUUCCUCCAGACAGCUGCGGAAGCUUGGCCUCCGUCUCACAAGGCCAGUGUUCUCAUCUGUGAGCACGGUGACGGCACUGUCAUUGAGCCGACCCUCGGCACCCUCGUCAGUGCUUCUGUAAGGUGUGUUAGUCCUGUGUUAACAUCGUGGAGGCCGCAGCACAGAGGGACUGAGCAGCUUGGACCAGGUCACACAGUUCCAGAACGGUGCAGUCUUCCGGGAAGCCUGUCAGGCCGGGUACCCGCUUCAGGCUGUCCUGGAGCACCCCCACAGCGCUGUCUUGACAUUGCUCUUGGAUCAGCACUAAACCGCGUUGAGAGUGAAAGCAAGAUUUGGCUCCCAGCAUGCAGUAAUUGCUUGAUCCUCCAGGCUCCAGACAAGGAAGAGGAUGUGGAUGUUUGGACCAGCAACUCGGCUCUACCUACCUGGAAACGGCUGGGGAACCAAGUCCUCACAGAGCUGGGCCAGAUGGCUGGGAAGACAUCCACCCACCGCCCCCUUACGGGAACAGGCAAAGGUUCCUUCUCCUGGAGAAGACCCCUCCCAACGGCACCCUUCCCAGGCUCAGGUCAGCCUGGAGGCGCUUUGUGGGCCCCUGUCGUGGCUGCUCAGCUGUAGACCUAAGUGUCUUGCCUGAGCCUUCAGCAGGAAUAGGACAAUCGCAACCCCUUGAAAGCAAGGACAGGGAGAGGGCUGCAUCCCCUCUGAGUUCCUAGGAAGCCUCCUGAUUGACCUCACUAAGGCUCAGAGAGGCCUGCAGCAUGCCCAGCAUCACCCAGCAUGGACGUGGCAAUGCCAGCCUGACCCGAGACCCCUUCCUUUGCUAUCUCCCUGUUCCAUUGUGCCUCCCAUGUAGCCUGGAUCAGAGCGGCCCAGCUUUGAUGUGUUGUGGGGUACAGAAAACAUAAGGGCUCCUUGGAAGGGACUGGAGGUGAAAGGUCAAGGUUUCAGAGUACCCCAGCACUCGCCUCACCCAGAGAAGAGCCAUGUUCUGGGGAUGGGUAAGUCAGCUUCAUUCAGCCACGUUCUGAGCAUUCUGCAAGGGAUGGCGUAAGUGGAGGAGCCCAGGGAGGUGGUAGCUUGUUUGACAGAACCAUUUGUAACCGUGAUGGGCCAGUGAAAAGAGCAGGAAGUUUGCGAGGACAUGAAAGUCACCAAUUUCCCAUCAAAGGCUCACACUCCGUGGCCCAGCGCUCAGCAGGAAGCUUGUCCCGGGUCCCCUGUGCAGUCACUCAUUUAAGGCACAUGGUGCUGCAAGAGCAAGCUGUUCUCCCAGGUGGGGACACCAAGGCCUCUAGCCGCUCUGCCAAGGUGGCAGCCAGAGGGCAAAGAGGAAGACACGCCCCUACCACUGCCCGUCCACCCGGGCUCUGCCCGCACUCACCUGCUCUUCUGCACUGUCUCUGUACCUUCCCCUUGGAUGUGCAGUGAAUAAACAAGUAAAUG